rnacentral:rRNA from 1 species
AGCGAACGCUGGCGGCGUGCUUAACACAUGCAAGUCGAGUGCGCGCCUGUAGCAAUACAGGUGGCGCACGGCGCACGGGUGCGUAACACGUGGGUAAUCUGCCCUUCGAUGGGGAAUAACCUCGCGAAAGCGAGGCUAAUUCCGCAUAACAUUCCGAUGGCUCCGAUCAAUGGACUCAAAGCCGUAAGGCGUCGGAGGAGGAGCCCGCGCACGAUUAGCAGUUGGUGAGGUAACGGCUCACCAAGGCUUUGAUCGUUAGCUGGUCUGAGAGGAUGGCCAGCCACACUGGAACUGAGAC